rnacentral:rRNA from 1 species
UUGAACGCUGGCGGCAGGCCUCACACCUGCAAGUCGAGCGGAUGAAGGGAGCUUGCUCCUGGAUUCAGCGGCGGACGGGUGAGUAAUGCCUAGGAAUCUGCCUGGUAGUGGGGGAUAACGUCCGGAAACGGGCGCUAAUACCGCAUACGUCCUGAGGGAGAAAGUGGGGGAUCUUCGGACCUCACGCUAUCAGAUGAGCUUAGGUCGGAUUAGCUAGUUGGUGGGGUAAAGGCCUACCAAGGCGACGAUCCGUAACUGGUCUGAGAGGAUGAUCAGUCACACUGGAACUGAGACACGGUCCAGACUCCUACGGGAGGCAGCAGUGGGGAAUAUUGGACAAUGGGCGAAAGCCUGAUCCAGCCAUGCCGCGUGUGUGAAGAAGGUCUUCGGAUUGUAAAGCACUUUAAGUUGGGAGGAAGGGCAGUAAGUUAAUACCUUGCUGUUUUGACGUUACCAACAGAAUAAGCACCGGCUAACUUCGUG